rnacentral:rRNA from 1 species
CCUACGGGAGGCAGCAGUGAGGAAUAUUGGUCAAUGGACGAGAGUCUGACCCAGCCAAGUAGCGUGAAGGAUGACUGCCCUAUGGGUUGUAAACUUCUUUUAUAAAGGAAUAAAACGCGGCACGUGUGCCUUUUUGCAUGUACUUUAUGAAUAAGGAUCGGCUAACUCCGUGCCAGCAGCCGCGGUAAUACGGAGGAUCCGAGCGUUAUCCGGAUUUAUUGGGUUUAAAGGGAGCGUAGAGGGGUUGUUAAGUCAGUUGUGAAAGUUUGGGGCUCAACCUGAGAAUUGCAAUUGAUACUGGCAGUCUUGAGUACAGGUGAGGUAGGCGGAAUUCGUGGUGUAGCGGUGAAAUGCUUAGAUAUCACGAAGAACCCCGAUUGCGAAGGCAGCUUACUAAACUGUGACUGACAUUGAUGCUCGAAAGUGUGGGUAUCAAACAGGAUGAGAUACCCCUGUAGUC